AUUCAGCUGACGAGUCGCAAAUAAGACGAAACGCGUGUCCUGAAU
rnacentral:hammerhead_ribozyme from 1 species